GGCAAAUUGAUGGUCCGAUCAGAAGUAUAUAAAAUUCAGGCUCAUGUUUGACAUCUAAUUAUACAAUCAAUGUGGUAGCACAUUGACACAAGACAACUUGUAACACAAAUUAGAAUUUACUCUGUUACUGGGAAACAUUCGGCUUGCGACUUUUUCAACAAUACCCAAAAUCGUUCGUCUAAAAUAUGAAAAAUGGAGCAAAAUGAUGCAGAAGUUACAUAAGUUAGUCAUAUUCUGCAGUUGUGGAGUUCAGCCCUUCUGAAUGUAAUUUACCCUAUGAAACUUGAUGCAUGUCUUCCUUUUUGUUGGGCCGAGUACAGAUGAACAAGCAUCAGCACUAUGCAGUAACUGCAUCAAGGGUGAUUAACCAAACUUCCCGAGUUCCACUUUCUUCUUUAUGGCCUUUUGACUAUGAUAAAUACAUGCAUCUAAUAUUCCAGCAACUGUGAAAACACCUCCUAUAAUUGCACAAACAUUGGUGAGGAAAUGAAAGAAUGACACAUGCUCCUCUGUGAAAGUCACCUUGAUAGGAGAGAGAUCAUAAAAGAAGUAAACUCCAGUAAUUGAUUGGAAAAGACCCAAAUCUGAACCCUUGAAAUGCUCAGUCACUGAGAACUGAUUUGAAUCAAUAGUACGGCCUCUAACACCUUUAAAUAUUGUAGGGACCACUUUGAUAAAGUACUGAUACAUUCCAUUCUGUGCUUCCUGCGUCCAUUGAACCCCAUCAAGUGGAUUUACAACUCCGGGAAUAGAGUCGCCAAAAGCUAACUUAUUUACCCUGUGACUUAUAUUAUAAGUAUCCGAUUGUAAGGAAAUCAAUUCGAAGAGUUGAAAGGUUGACUGGUGAAAGCUUUUGCCAGCAGCAAAGUGAAAAUUUCCAGCCACUUUAUUGACCUCUAGAGAUCCAUGAAUGUUACAUCCUUCACCUUCUUCA
rnacentral:misc_RNA from 1 species